AGUCAAUAGAUACCCGGGUAGUCCACGCCCUAAACGAUGGAUACUAGGCGUAAGAGGUAUCGACCCCUCUUGUGCCGCAGCUAAACGCAUUAAGUAUCCCGCCUGGGGAGUACGGCCGCAAGGUUGAAACUCAAAUGAAUUGACGGGGACCCGCACAAGCGGCGGAGCAUGUGGAUUAAUUCGAUACUAACCGAAGAACCUUACCCAGACUUGACAUCGAUCGCAAGCCUUAGAAAUAGGGCCCUCCCCCGACAAGGGGACGUGAAGACACUUGUUGCAUGGCUGUCGUCAGCUCGUGCCGUGAGGUGUACGGUUAAGUCCGCAACGAGCGCAACCCUCGUCCUGUGUUACCAGCAUGAAAGAUGGGAACUCACAGGAGACCGCCGGUGUAAAUCGGAGGAAGUGGGGAUGACGUCAAGUCAGCAUGGCAGUUACGUCUGGGGCUUCACACAU
rnacentral:rRNA from 1 species